UACGUAGGGGGCAAGCGUUGUCCGGAUUUAUUGGGCGUAAAGCGUGCGCAGGCGGUUGUGCAAGACCGCUGUGAAAUCCCCGGGCUUAACCUGGGAAUGGCAUUGGUGACUGCACGGCUAGAGUGUGUCAGAGGGGGGUAGAAUUCCACGUGUAGCAGUGAAAUGCGUAGAGAUGUGGAGGAAUACCGAUGGCGAAGGCAGCCCCCUGGGAUAACACUGACGCUCAUGCACGAAAGCGUGGGGAGCAAACAGG
rnacentral:rRNA from 1 species